UUGGGGAAGUGUCUCGCCUCAUGGGACGGACGGUCACAGAUAUUUGUAGGAGCUCGGUUGCUAUUUAAGUAGCCCAUUGAAGGAGCAGAUUCACCGGGCAGCAGCAUCCUGUUACACCCAGCAUGGAGCUUCUCCAUCUCCUGGCUUCUCUCCAGAUCCUUCCCCGGCUUGUGUCACCUGCAGCCCCCCCGCAAGCCCCCACAGUCAUCAUGGACCCCCAGCAGCCUGUGUAUGUCCCGGGGGAGCGUCUCACACUCAGAUGCUCGGCCCCCGGCGGGGAGGCAGUGACCAGCUACCAGUUCUACAAUCCGC